rnacentral:rRNA from 1 species
UAGAGUUUGAUCCUGGCUCAGAAUGAACGCUGGCGGCGUGCUUAACACAUGCAAGUCGAACGAGAAAGUUCUCUUCGGAGGAUGAGUAGAGUGGCGCACGGGUGAGUAACACGUGGAUAAUCUGUCUUCGGGAACGGGAUAACCAAUCGAAAGGCUGGCUAAUACCGUAUGAAGUUUUCGGCUAUAGGGUUGAAAAUGAAGAGGUGCCUCUGAUGUAUGCAUCUGCUUGAAGGUGAGUCCGCGUACCAUUAGCUAGCUGGUGGGGUAAGAGCCUACCAGGGCGACGAUGGUUAGCUGGUCUGAGAGGAUGAUCAGCCACACUGGAACUGAAACACGGUCCAGACUCCUACGGGAGGCAGCAGUGAGGGAUUUUGCGCAAUGGGGGAGACCCUGACGCAGCAAUGCCGCGUGAGUGAAGAAGGCCCUUGGGUCGUAAAGCUCUGUCAACAGGGAAGAAGUUAUCAUGCAUGAAUAAUGUAUGGUAUUGACGGUACCUGUGGAGGAAGCACCGGCUAACUCCGUGCCAGCAGCCGCGGUAACACGGGGGGUGCAAGCGUUAUUCGGAAUUAUUGGGCGUAAAGUGCGCGCAGGCGGUCUUGCCGGUCAGGUGUGAAAGCCCGGGGCUCAACCCCGGAAGAGCAUUUGAAACAGCAAGACUUGAGUACAGGAGAGGAAAGCGGAAUUCCUGGUGUAGAGGUGAAAUUCGUAGAUAUCAGGAGGAACACUCAUGGCGAAGGCAGCUUUCUGGACUGAUACUGACGCUGAGGCGCGAAGGUGUGGGUAGCGAACAGGAUUAGAUACCCUGGUAGUCCACGCCGUAAACGAUGGAUACUCGGUAUUGGCACAUCGACCGUGUCAGUGCCCAAGCUAACGCAUUAAGUAUCCCGCCUGGGGAGUACGGUCGCAAGAUUAAAACUCAAAGGAAUAGACGGGGACCCACACAAGCGGUGGAGCAUGUGGUUUAAUUCGAUAAUAAGCGAGGAACCUUACCCAGACUUGACAUCUCGGGAAUUCUGAAGAAAUUCGGAAGUGCCGUAAGGAACCCGAUGACAGGUGCUGCAUGGUUGUCGUCAGCUCGUGCCUUGAGGUGUUCGGUUAAGUCCGUAAACGAGCGCAACCCUUGUCAUUAGUUGCAUUUUUCUAAUGAGACUGCCCUGACUUAGUUAGGGAGGAAGGUAGGGAUGACGUCAAAUCAGCAUGGCCCUUAUGUCUGGGGCGACACACGUGCUACAAUGGCCGGUACAAUGGGCAGCCAAGGAGUAAUCCGGAGCCAAUCCCACAAAACCGGUCUCAGUUCGGAUUGAGGGCUGAAACUCGCCCUCAUGAAGUUGGAAUCGCUAGUAAACGCGUAUCAGCCAUGACGCGUUGAAUAUGUUCCUGGGUCUUGUACUCACCGCCCGUCACAUCACGAAAGAUGGGAGUGCCCGAAGGUCCCUGCUCAGCAGGGGACUAAGGCAAAACCAUUGAUUGGGAUGAAGUCGUAACAAGGUA